CAGCCAUGCGGUAACCACGAAGCGAACUAUAUUUCGCCUUUUACUAAAGAAUACCGUAAGCUUGCCGCUUAUAAGUGGCAUACGCCUAAAUUUGGAGGGUUUUCUCUUUUAUUAGAGAAA